rnacentral:rRNA from 1 species
UAGACUACAAGGUUGAUAGGCUGCGUGUGUAAGCAUGGUAACAUGUUUAGCUUGGCAGUACUAAUAGGCCGAGGGCUUGACCAA